rnacentral:rRNA from 1 species
UUUGUGGGGUGCUCGAGCGGCGAACGGGUGAGUAACACGUGAGUAACCUGCCCUUGACUUUGGGAUAACUUCAGGAAACUGGGGCUAAUACCGGAUAGGAGCUCCUGCUGCAUGGUGGGGGUUGGAAAGUUUCGGCGGUUGGGGAUGGACUCGCGGCUUAUCAGCUUGUUGGUGGGGUAGUGGCUUACCAAGGCUUUGACGGGUAGCCGGCCUGAGAGGGUGACCGGCCACAUUGGGACUGAGAUACGGCCCAG